rnacentral:rRNA from 1 species
CCUACGGGAGGCAGCAGUGGGGAAUCUUGCGCAAUGGGCGAAAGCCUGACGCAGCAACGCCGCGUGCGGGAAGAAGGCCUUAGGGUUGUAAACCGCUUUCAGUAGGAACGAAAAUGACGGUACCUGCAGAAGAAGGUGCGGCCAACUACGUGCCAGCAGCCGCGGUGACACGUAGGCACCAAGCGUUGUCCGGAUUUAUUGGGCGUAAAGAGCUCGUAGGCGGUUCAGUAAGUCGGGUGUGAAAACUCUGGGCUUAACCCAGAGCCGCCACUCGAUACUGCUGUGACUUGAGUUCGGUAGGGGAGCAGGGAAUUCCUAGUGUAGCGGUGAAAUGCGCAGACAUUAGGAGGAACACCGGUGGCGAAGGCGCUGCUCUGGGCCGAUACUGACGCUGAGGAGCGAAAGCGUGGGUAGCAAACAGGAUUAGAUACCCUGGUAGUCCACGCCGUAAACGUUGGGCACUAGGUGUGGGUUCCAACCAACGGAAUCCGCGCCGUCGCUAACGCAUUAAGUGCCCCGCCUGGGGAGUACGGCGGCAACGCUAAAACUCAAAUGAAUUGACGG